AUUUCAACAAUAUUUAGUAAGGGCAAUGAUUUUGAUGAUCUUCAAAUUCAAGAACUAAUCAUCAAAUAAGUAAUAAUGUAUAGAGACACUGAAAAUAAAUUACCGAUUUUGUGAUCUGUAAACUACGAUUGCUUGUAUACAUUCGGAAAGGAACCUUACAACAUAUUAAAAUAAUCAAACCAAGACAUUCCUAAAUCUUUUUAAAUAUUAUUUUCUAUUUAUUAAUCUGCUGACUCUUACUUUGCAAGUUAUCUUGACAUACUCUCACAUACAUUUUUCAUUCUUUUUAAUAUAUCGAAUUGAAAGGUGGUGUUUAAAACAAAAUAAGAGAACAUUGAUAAAGGGCAUACGGAAAACUGGCGUUGAUCUCAUUAAUAUUGAUACUCGAAAUCAGUGUAAAAAAUGGGAACAAGGUAAAUUACGA